rfam:Octopus bimaculoides Scaffold12167_contig_62, whole genome shotgun sequence.
AAUAAGGACAAUGUUUAAUAUAUUUUCAUAGCUGAGUGCCGAGGACACAAUGUUGCCCAACCUUGAUUUAAACGGUCAGGUGGUGGAGUGGUAAACUAAGUGGGAUCCCUCUCUCGAUCUCGAUUUUCAGCACGAAUACGGACCGCGAAAGCGUGGCCCGUUGAUCCUUUCCGAACAGCGGCGAGCUUUGCAUCCGCAUAGAGGUGUCAGAAAAGUUACCACAGGGAUAAAUGGCUUGUGGUGGCCAAGCGUUUGCAAAGACAUUGCUUUCUGAUCCUUCGAUGUUGGCUCUUCCUAUCAUUGAUUUCAAAUUUUGGCACAAGGCCAGAGGGAAUAAGUAGAUUACAUCGUCUCACGUGCUAAACUGGUACUUAUUUUAUUGUUCUCGGAAGGAUGAAAGACAAAGUAGGCCUCAGCGGAAUUUGAACUCAAAACCUAAAGACAGACGAAAUGCCGCUAAGUAUUUUGGCCAGCGUGCUAACGAUUCUACCAGCUCCAUCCAAUGCGAAGCAGAAUUCGUAAAGCGCUGGAUUGUUCACCCACUAACAGGGAACGCGAGCUGGAUUGAGACCGUCGUGAGACAGGUUAGUUUUA